GAUGAACGCUGGCGGCGUGCCUAACACAUGCAAGUCGAGCGAAGCACUUUGCUUAGAUUCUUCGGAUGAAGAGGAUUGUGACUGAGCGGCGGACGGGUGAGUAACGCGUGGGUAACCUGCCUCAUACAGGGGGAUAACAGUUAGAAAUGACUGCUAAUACCGCAUAAGACCACAGCACCGCAUGGUGCGGGGGUAAAAACUCCGGUGGUAUGAGAUGGACCCGCGUCUGAUUAGCUAGUUGGUAAGGUAACGGCUUACCAAGGCGACGAUCAGUAGCCGACCGGAGAGGGUGACCGGCCACAUUGGGACUGAGACACGGCCCAAACUCCUACGGGAGGCAGCAGUGGGGAAUAUUGCACAAUGGGGGAAACCCUGAUGCAGCGACGCCGCGUGAGCGAAGAAGUAUUUCGGUAUGUAAAGCUCUAUCAGCAGGGAAGAAAAUGACGGUACCUGACUAAGAAGCACCGGCUAAAUACGUGCCAGCAGCCGCGGUAAUACGUAUGGUGCAAGCGUUAUCCGGAUUUACUGGGUGUAAAGGGAGCGUAGACGGAUGGGCAAGUCUGAUGUGAAAACCCGGGGCUCAACCCCGGGACUGCAUUGGAAACUGUUCAUCUAGAGUGCUGGAGAGGUAAGUGGAAUUCCUAGUGUAGCGGUGAAAUGCGUAGAUAUUAGGAGGAACACCAGUGGCGAAGGCGGCUUACUGGACAGUAACUGACGUUGAGGCUCGAAAGCGUGGGGAGCAAACAGGAUUAGAUACCCUGGUAGUCCACGCCGUAAACGAUGACUACUAGGUGUCGGGUGGCAAAGCCAUUCGGUGCCGCAGCAAACGCCAAAAAGUAGUCAACCCUGGGGAGUACGUUCGCCAGAAUGAAACUCAAAGGGAAUUGACGGGGGACCCCCACCAGCGGUGGAGCAUGUGGUUUAAUUCGAAGCAACGCGAAGAACCUUACCUGCUCUUGACAUCCCCGCUGACCGGAACCAUAAUGCGUCCUUUCCUUCGGGGCAGCGGAGACAGGUGGUGCAUGGUUGUCGUCAGCUCGUGUCGUGAGAUGUUGGGUUAAGUCCCGCAACGAGCGCAACCCCUAUCUUUAGUAGCCAGCGGCCAGGCCGGGCACUCUAGAGAGACUGCCGGGGAUAACCCGGAGGAAGGUGGGGACGACGUCAAAUCAUCAUGCCCCUUAUGAGCAGGGCUACACACGUGCUACAAUGGCGUAAACAAAGGGAAGCGAGACCGCGAGGUGGAGCAAAUCCCAAAAAUAACGUCUCAGUUCGGAUUGUAGUCUGCAACUCGACUACAUGAAGCUGGAAUCGCUAGUAAUCGCGAAUCAGAAUGUCGCGGUGAAUACGUUCCCGGGUCUUGUACACACCGCCCGUCACACCAUGGGAGUCGGGGGUACCUGAAGUGCGUAACCGCGAGGAG
rnacentral:rRNA from 1 species